CCUCUCCUAUAGUAGAGAAUGAGUGGAACUGUUCCUCAGGGGGUCUAUAGUGCACUGUCUGAUGUGAUAGUGUAGCUGACGGCUGAAUGGUUGCAAUUUUAUCUCUAAUAGUAUCGAUUUUAGAAGUAAAGUAGUUCAUAAAUCAUUACUGCUGUGGUGUUGGAAAAUGUCAACAGUUGUUGAGGCUUUAUUUUUCAUUAAUUUAGUCACUGUAUUGAAUAAAUACCUGGGGUUAUGUUUGUUUUCUUAACAGUGGUGUUUGAGGCUCUUCAUUUUCAUGUACAUAACUCUUAUUCAACUAUGCCAAGGUAAAAUACAGUUUUCCAUUCUGUGGCACCUUUAACAGAAAUAUGUUCAAAUAUUAUUUUGCAAGCUGUUCCAACGAAGGACUAUUAACAAACUCUUCUAAACUGAACAUGUUUCAAGUGCAUUACGAAUCACUGCCUUUUACCACAUUUCACAACUACUCAAAUCAACACUUCCCUUUGCCACCACCCCAACAUCUCUCAACAUGCAAAAUUAUAUAAAGGGCAUACUUGACCACUUCUAUUUCCUAAACAGGGAAAAAAAAGUGAUAAAAUAUAAAAUCCCAGAAGAGCCCCCAUUUAAUGAUUUAAGCGCCACUUUAACUUCCCUUCUCUCCUUUGUCUUGUCUGUUUAAUUUGUUGUUCCUUGAGGGCAAUAAAUAUUUCUUGUAGUGCAGUUGUGUCAUGUAUUCCAUUGCCACCUCUUUCCCUGCCUCAUUUCUUUAAAAUGCAACUUAAUGUUACCUCUUUUAACCCCUAGUAAAAACAAUUUCAUCAGAGACGUAACAUUAAAUGGGGGCUCGUCCGGGAUUUUAUAUUUUAUCACUUUUUUUUCCCUGUUUUUUUUCUUCUAAAAGAGAAGAAAAGUAAUCGGAUCUAGCAGUUUUUAAUGCUUUUCUGUAGGAUAGGUUACUUUCCCGCCAAGCAAUACGAAAUACCUCUAGUUUUGUUUUCCUCCAGCUGCGCUCCAUUUUUCGGGCUGCUCUCUUUAGGGUGCGAGUAUGCUCAUUAUACCAUGGUGUCAAACUGUUUUCCUUAACCUUCCUUAAGCGUAAAGGAGCAACUUUAUUUAAAGUGCUAGAAAAGAGAGAGUCCGUAGUUUCUGUUACAUCAUCAAGGUGUUCUGAGGUUUUGGAUAUGCUAAGAAAUUUGGAUACAUAAGGAAGAUAACUUAAAAAGCAAUCUUUUGCGGUAGAAGUGAUGGUUCUUCCAUACUUGUAACAAGAAGUAGAAUUUACAGUUUUGGCUAUAUGAAGUUUGCACAGAACUAAAUAAUGAUCUGAGAUAUCAUCACUUGGCUGAAUAAUUUAAACACUAUCAACAUCAAUUCCAUGUGACAGUAUUAAAUCUAGAGUAUGAUUUCGACAAUGAGUAGGUCCUGAAACGUGUUGUC
rnacentral:lncRNA from 1 species